GAUGAAGAACGUAGCAAAAUGCGAUAAGUAAUGUGAAUUGCAGAAUUCAGUGAAUCAUCGAAUCUUUGAACGCACAUUGCGCCCCUUGGUAUUCCGAGGGGCAUGCCUGUUCGAGCGUCAUUACACCACUCAAGCACCGCUUGGUAUUGGGCAUCGUCCGUCGAAAGGCGGGCGUGCCUCGAAGACCUCGGCGGGGUUUCUCCAACUUCGGGCGUAGUAGAGUUAAAUCAAAACGUCUUAUAAGCUUGGUGAGAUCUCAUUGCCGUUAAACCUUUUAUUUUUUCAGGUUGACCUCGGAUCAGGUAGGGAUACCCGCUGAACUUAAGCAUAUCAAUAAGCGGAGGA
rnacentral:misc_RNA from 1 species